AUCCAUUUGUGGUUCAUAAGCGUGAUGACUGAGCUUUCACACACAUUGAGUGAGAUGUGCCUCACUCAAUCCUUGUUAUGAUGUCAGCAUAUUACCCAUCUGACG
rfam:Chlorocebus sabaeus isolate 1994-021 chromosome 21, whole genome shotgun sequence.